UACGUAGGGGGCAAGCGUUGUCCGGAAUCAUUGGGCGUAAAGCGCGUGUAGGCGGCUCAGUAAGUCCGCUCUGAAAGCCCGGGGCUUAACCCCGGGAGGCGGGUGGAUACUGCUGAGCUCGAGUCCGGAAGAGGCGAGUGGAAUUCCCGGUGUAGCGGUGAAAUGCGCAGAUAUCGGGAAGAACACCCGUGGCGAAGGCGGUUCUCUGGGACGGUACUGACGCUGAGACGCGAAAGCGUGGGGAGCGAACAGG
rnacentral:rRNA from 1 species